rnacentral:rRNA from 1 species
GACGAACGCUGGCGGCGUGCUUAAUACAUGCAAGUCAACUUGACUUUAGAUAGCAAUAUUGAAAAGUAGGGUGGCGCACGGGUGCGUAACGCGUAGGUAAUCUGCCCUGAGGUCUGACAUAACCCGUCGAAAGGCGGCUAACAUCAGAUGAUAUAUAAUCACGACAUCGUGGAAAUAUCAAAUCUUCGGAGCCUUGGGAUGAGCCUGCGUCUGAUUAGGUAGUUGGCGGAGUAAUAGCCACCAAGCCUACGAUCAGUAGCUGGUCUGAGAGGAUGAUCAGCCACACUGGAACUGAGACACGGUCCAGACUCCUACGGGAGGCAGCAGUAA